UCCUCCACAUUCCUCGUUUCCGUGCGGACACCUUCGAGGCGUUCGCCAGCGGUGACCGUAGUCUGCUGUACCGACGCUUCUGCUUCCCGUCGCCGACGGGACCGAGCGAGGGACCCGCGAAAAAGUCCUGGUCCUAGUCUCAGCAGCUGGACUGCUGCAUCCUGCAAGGCAGAAAGGAUCCUGAGGGACUGCACUGUCGAGAUGAAUCUCCCUGGUCGUGGAGGAGCCAGUACCGUUGGAUACUUUCGACUCUGCCGUCCCCUACUGCAGCAGCGAGGUGCCAUACAACUGCAUAUUUCCUGCUCCCAGCAGCACGCCAGACUCUGAGGCGACAUACUCUCCAUCCAACCCUGCCAAAGGUUUCGAGAGACAUCCUGAAGAGGCUACACCUUGGCAAAGCAGCUCUCCUGUUGGUCUUUAAUAAAUGGGGCUUUCAUCGAGGAGGUAGACUGGAACUGUAUAAACCAAACCCAGGCAACUGUGCAUGACAGCACAAACAUUUAGCACAAGUUCGAUGCCAUUCAGACUUACAGAGCUAAACAUAUUUUCCAGUCUACACUACGGUUUCCCCUCCCAUCUGCA
rnacentral:lncRNA from 1 species